rnacentral:lncRNA from 10 species
CCUGUGCAGUCUAACCCUAGCCAAUAGGGGAAUGACACAGCAGCAGGAGCCACAUGUGUCAGGGAUAAGAACCUCUUCCCCUCCCUUGUCCAAGUGUGUGCUCACCAUUGCUCCAUAUGCAAGGGCACAUGCUUCUAUAGAAGUACAUUGCCUUGCGAGAAUUACAAAGAAAAUUUUAUAUUGGAGUGAUAUUUCUUUUGUGGCACCAAAACUUUAUUUAUAACAAUUUGGGGGCUCAUCCAGGAUUACAUUCCCCUCCGAGGGUGAUCUCUGGUCCUCUCUUGCAAGCAGGCUUGCUCCGCCCCCUUGUGGCAGCCUCAGGGGUGAGAAAUCAGGACCCACCCAGUGCAAGAUAUAACUUGAGCUCUCAGCAAUGCAGAAAGAAACUCCCUAGCAACCUAGCUGCAGGAAUGACUCUGUGCACAGAUCAAGAAAGGAGAAGCCACGGGAGCUGGUCUGACCUUAAGAAAAUAGGACCUUCCAUUUUCUAGCUCCUGGAACACUUCCACUUAGCACCCAGCCAUCAGACUGUGUAUGAGGAGAGGAACUGAGACCUGCAGACCAAUAACCUAAGCUGAACUCGCAGCUGAAAGCUAACCCACCUCUAAUGGACUCUCCACUCAAAAUCCAGAUUAGUGAACCAAAUAUAUGACUGUUGUUUUUAAGCCACUAUGUUUUAGCAUGGUAUGUUACACACCAAUAGAUAACUAAAACUGUUCUCUCACCAUCUCAACAUCCUCUUCAUAUUUUCUAAAUAAUAAAAUAUGCCAUUUGAUUUUACAAGAAACAAAUGUUAGAUGGCAGGGCUGAAGUUAAAUGGGAACCUAAUGUUCACAACGACUAACAGAUUUGUAAAUUGAGCUUAUAUGUCUACAUCAAAGUUCUCAAUCUUUAUUUAUGCUAUAGUUUAAAGCAUGACUAUACUUUUCAGCUGACUCUCUUGAAAAGUGGAGUAUAAUUAAUAUAUUGAUACCUGGAUAUAUUAUAUUUUAGUUCAUGAUUCCAUUUAGUCCUGAAAAAUAGAAGGCAUUGUCAUUUUGUAGACAUCUCCUUGAUAUAUUUGUGUUAGAGUUAACUCAAUUUUUUAAAUGUAAGAUUUAACUCUAUGACACUAAUCACCUGUCAUCAGUCACUGACUAUAGUUCAAUAUCAUUUGAGUCACCAAGGCUAAGAUAUACCAGAUAACUGUUUCAGUACAGGUGAUUUGCAUUUAUCAUCUAAGAGCUUAUAAGAACCUCCUCUCACUAAAAUAUCAGAGGUCUAACUUUUACCCCCUUCCUCACAUCAAAAGCAUAAAACGCUGAGAUAUAUAAAGAGGAGAUUUCAGGGAGUUUGAGAACUUACUCAAAUGAUGUAACUCAUUUGACAAAUGACUUGCUUCAUGCAUCUUUUAGAUAGCUAAGUCCAAUUAGCUAAAAUUAUAGUUGAAUUGAAUAUGUAAAUAUCUAUAAAGUUGGCCUAAUUAGAUCCAUAGGGUGGUGUAGCAUCUGUGUUUAAAGCCCAGCAAUUGUGAAGAGGUUUUGGUUGCAAGCUUAGGGGAGGCUGUGAAGACUGGCAAGUCUAAGUCCUCCCGUGGAAUCUGAGAUUUCACAGGUAGUAUCUGAGGAUGGGUGUGAGAUUACUGCUCAAGCCAGAAAGAUUAACAGCUGCCUCAAUGGGAAUAAGAGUCACUAGGAAAUUUGAUUCUAUCAUUCCUGAAUCCAAGGUGGCGUUAACAAGCUUAUUAUGUAAGAAAGCAGCCUCUGUUACUAAUCUAAGCUGUAUCUGUUUUUCUGCUUACGCCUAUGAACCAGAACAUAAGAAGUAGUAGAACAAAUGAUAUGAAUCUACAAAUUAUGCCACGUAUUUUAAUUCUUCACUAUUUAAAUAAUUAAAAACUAAGUUUUCUUCUAAAUGUGUCACAUAGUAUAGAUUUUCUAGGGUGCACUUAAGAAAUUUGGUGUACUCAAGAUGAUCAACCUGUCUCAAAAUAAACUUAGAUUUUUUGAAGACUCUUCUGUUAAAUUGGACUUUGACCAUCACUGACACUUAUUUUGACCUUAUAAUACCAUAAAUAUGUACCCUUGAUCAAGACUCCAGCUGAUAGACCCUUAGCAUAGAUACAUAAAAAUAAUAAACCUUAUCUGAACAUCUGUUUUAAGUCAGCUUUUGCUGUGGAAGCUGUUACAAUUACAAAUUAUUUCCAUUUGAUUUCACUGAAAUUCAAUUAACUUCGAGCAAAAAUUAGCAACACUAAUUUUUAAAUAAGGAUGGGGUGAAGGUGAUAGUUAUUGUGGAGCAUUGAUAUGAUAGAAGCAGUGAGGGUAGAAAAUGUGUGAACGUUAAAUGCCUUUAUUACUCAUUUUACAUUUCAUCAGGUAUCAGAUGGCAUGAAAAUACGCUGUCUUGGUCUAUUUUCUUGCUACCACCCCUAAGAUAUCACAUACUUGGCUGUUUCUUAUUCUAAAACCACAGUCCCUUGGGGGCUAGCUAUUAUUUUAAUGAUCAGAGUGAUGAUGAGUCUCUGAAUACCUUAAGGUUUGUAUACUAAGGAUUAUCUCAAUUUAGCUAACAUAAGCUCUAUGAAUGUGUUGCAUAUAAAAUCAUUUUAUCUAAGGCCACAUAUUCUCAAAAGACAUAUUAUGUUGUAUUUUACACCUGAUGCAUUUACAGUUACCACUAACAAGCAAGAAAAAAAUCUCCUCUACAGAGUUUGAAGUAUAUAUUUUUAAAUUAUUGUUGCUUCUAAAAAUACAAAAAUAGAUUUGGAGGUUGAUAUUUUUGGCAGGGGCUCUGAAUAUUUUCAUGUGGAAGUCAGCAACCUAAUAAGCCUGACUUACUGAGUGGAUCAGUGGGUUGUAAUUCUGGUAACUUAUUUUUUAACUAGCUUGAGGCUAGGUCUAUCUCAAUUAUGCUUCAGGUUGUAUAAUAGAUUAUAUGGCAUAUUCAAUAAAGUUGAUAUUGUAUUAAACACAGUAGAGACAAUUAAUGAAUAUUUUUUUCUCGUGAGUUGAUAUUUUAAAAAGAGUUAAUUAUGUAGAAUUUUUUGAAAGGCUUUAUUCAAUAGGACUCAAUACCGGUCUGAUCAUCAUCCUACGAUAAUGGGAUAUGGGUCACAGCAGGGAGAAAAUCAAUAGUGCUGAUGGGCUAUUUUAUUUAAAUCUCAAGCAGUUUUCUCUUCAUAAUAAGAAGAUGUUUUCCAAUUAAAUUGUAAAUUUGAACUAAUAUAUUGUUUUAUAUAAGAUACUUUAUAACUUA